AAUUGGAAACAGUUGAAAUGUCCAACAAUAGGUGAAUUGAUUAAAUUAUGUUAUAGCUGUGUGAUAGAAUUCUACAUAAUUAUUUUGAAUCAUGUUUUAGAAGAAUACCCAAUGAUAUGGAAAAAGUCCAAUGUAUUAAAUUUAUAAAGCAGCAAUAAAUAGUAAAAUAGUAGUAGUAAAUAGUAAAAUAGUGGUAUGCUCAUAAUUGUUUUCCCAAGUACUUUUAAAUAGGACAAAAAUACUGAAAGAAUAAAGACCAAAUAUUUAUAUUAUAUAAUGGUUACCUUUCAGUAGUGGCAUUAGGAUUUUUAACAUUUUUUUCUUUAUCCUUUUCUUUAUUUUCCUUAUGCUUUGCUGUAGUUUCCAACUUUUUUUUUUUUUUUAACUGUGUUUCAAAUGAGCAAAAUAUGGUCUAGGGACUGAAUCUUCUAUAGUAGGCUAUCUUGUCCCAUCUUUCAACCUGUAAAUUUAACCUGUAGAAUGGUUGUAAUUGUAGAGGCACAAAUAGAUCACUGCAAUCUAAAUUAAGUGCUAUCUCCCCUAAUAGCUUUUUGUGAUAGGUGUGUUUCUUAUUAUCUUUGUACACCCAGAUGCCUCAUACAGGGUCUGGCACAGAGCAACAUUAGUAAAUAUGGUGAAUUGAGUAAGUGCUAGGGUAGGCUGACCUAGAGUCAUUGCUAGGUCUAAUGCGUUGAUGGUUCACAUCCAGCUCAUUGGUGCUCCUUUAUCCUGCGUGACUUACUUUGUGUGAAAUAUUUCCAUCUCUGCUUUAGAGAACAGAUCUCUCUGGAGAACCAGUUUAGAGAACAAAUCUCUAGUUUGGCAUCUGUAGGGCAGAACAUUUCAAAUAUCCACACUAUCUCAUGAACAAUGAUCAGUUCUCUGGAUUAGUACAUCUCUCACCUAAAAUCACCUCAAGGUAUAGUCUCUUGAUUCCAGCAGUCUUCCACAUUUUAGUUUUUAAUCUUGUUCUACAUUAUUUUUAUUUUUAGUUAUUUAGGGGUAAAAACAUUGUGGUUUAUUUUGAAAGUUGAUCACAUCUAGUUUCAUGCAUGUCAUUAUUUUGCCUUCCCAGGAGUACAAUAGUUGUGUCUUAUACUACUUCCUUUUUUCUCCCUCAAUAUCUAGUACUGUGGUAGAUGCAUAGUAAGUAUUGUUGAAUUAAUUAGAUUGGUGCUAUUGCAUUAUUGCUAUAAAGGUAACAUUGUUAUGGUCAGUAGCAUUUAGAAUAGAAGACAAAUAGUCUUACUACAUUGUCCUCAUUGACUUGCUAUCAAGUUAAAAUUUAGUGUGGGAUCAGAAAUUAAGUUUAUUGAAAUUCUAAUUCGUUCAAAAAGGUUUACUGAGUGCCUAAUAUUUUCUGGGUAUUGUUCUAGACGGUAGAGAUACAGUAUUGAAUAAAAGAAAAACAAAUACCUGCCCUUAUGGAACUUACAUUCUUGUGGAUCUGUUCAUACAUAACUUGCUACCAUGUACAUUCUGUGAUAGUGCAUAAUAAUUUUCAGGGAGUCAUCAGCAACAGGCUAGAUAAGCUUGAUCUAGAGUCAAGUAUCUAUUAGCUUUUAUAUGGUUUUGUGCAAUAGCUUGGUAAAGAACAGAAACACUUAUUGAACACUUAUAAUGUGCCAGGUACUCUAUUAAGAAUUUUGAUAUACCUUUUCUUAUUUAACUCUCACAGUACUUUUAGGAAGUUGGUAGAAUUUCUGUUUUCUUUAGUGAAAAAAAUGGAAGCUCCAAGAUGUUAAUCAGCUUGCUCCGGAUCACAUGGCUAAUAAGUGAGUGGCAGAACCUUAUUCAAACACAAGUCCUUCUGAUUCCAAAGGGCUUUUUCUAUAAGCAUUGUUGUAAGAGAAUGUUCCAUAAAUUCUCAGUUGUUGAAUUUUUCAGAAUGAUUUAUUUGCAGAUAUAACAGAUAGGCUGUGAUGUCCUCAUGUGUGCUUUAUUUAUUGUGCUAUCCUUUAUGUAGCAGCAUAUCCAUAAGGAAUGAAAGGAUAUCAGGGUGCACAUGGUGGAUUUAAAAAAAAAAAAGGAAGGAUAAUGUAGGAGUCAGUUUGUUAGGCAGAAGAAGGUCAUGUUAAUGUUCCAAAGUGACUUGAAGUGCUAUGUCACAGUAUUUAACAUGCACAUUUUAAAAUGGUACACAUAAUGAACCAAGAGUAGAUGUUAUUCUAGUUUAUCAUUACCAUGUUUCAUUGAUUCUAAGAUGUUCAUUCUUCCCUCCUCAUUUUAGCAUUUCUGAAAUCAAGAUGCCUCUUAUAAUCAAUAUCAUGUCAUAGUUUAAUUGACAUAAGUUUUUCCUUCUUUACAGUAGCACAUAAAAUCAUGAUGAGUCUUAGAUUUGAUGAAAUAUAAUUAUUUAUAUUUUGGCAACACCCUAAAUAUCAAUAUACAUUUUAUUUCCUGAAGGCUGCAUAGAAGUUAUUUCAAUCAUCAGAUUAUUAAUUUGUGUUUUCAGUGCUUUAGAUGCAUUAGAUAAAUGCUUAUACUUAACAAUUACCAUGCAGCUUUAACGUUUUUACUUAAUCAACAGUGUAACUGUUUGGGUGUUUUCAGAACAUCUGUUAAUAUGCCAGCAAACCAUAGGUAUAUUGGAUUAUUAAUAUAUUUUGAAGAAUUACGUAUUAUGUACUUUGUGCAGUAAUGUAUCAUGGUUCCAAAGAAACCAUCAGGCUUUUCAAGUCAUUAACUCACUUUUUAAAAAGUCCUUAAAUAUAUAUUUAGAUGAACCACUUAACUGUGAUUUUGACGUCUUAGUCUAUUUCUUUUGAUAAUUAAUGCUACAGGAGGCAACCUAGUAGAUUAAUAUUAAAUUGUAGCGUUAAAUUUUACUAACAGAAAUAGAGUGAAAAUGCCUUGUUCUUUUAAUUUUUGUUCUUAUACCAUCUAUUUCCACGAGAGUCUGCAGAAUUUUCUGAAUGAUGGGAGGUUUGGCACGAUUUGGAACAUAUGUGUCUUUGAUUUUCACAUGUUGUUCUAACUGAUGUCAAAAGGAGUUUUUGCAUUGGCAGCCUGAAGCCAGUCCAUGGCAUUUAGUAUCUAGGUACACUGGAAGUUCAGAUUUAAAGUUGAGCAAAAUGCUGACUUGUGCUUUUUUGACAUGCUUUGCCUUUUGAAAACAUAGUAAUUAUGAUGUUAUAUAUAUUAAUUUUCAGUGUUUCCUACAUAUUAUUUAAAUAUCCAAACCACAGAAAACAUUAUUUUUAAGUAGUAGUCUUUAAGUAAGGUAGGAUGCAAUUGGUAUAAGUAUGAAUUUACAUUAAGAAAUUAGAAAUUUUAAAGAUUUAGUAAGAAUAAAGUCAGUAUUGUACUGAAAAAUUAUAAUUUGUAAAGCUUCUCCCCUUGUUUUAUGCAGAAGUCUAAAUAAGCACAUGAAUUAAGUUUGUAAGCCUUAUAAAAACUAAAGAUAAAACUGUUUGAGAAAAUCAACAUUUUAAAUCAUGCUAAAUCUCUUCCUAUUUUUACUCAUCCUCUUGCAGAGCAUUGACAAAAAUAUGAAAUUGAUUUGGUUGAAGGGUGUUAAAGAGCCGACAGCCAAAUGUCACAAACAAUGAAUGGCUGCAGUGUUGAAAAAAUCAAUAGGAAGGUUAAGCUGGUCUUGUGAAAGACUUGGCAGACUGCUCUGUUCCAGGAAGAUAUCUGUCUUCUGGCCUUGGUUGCAUGAUCAAAAGGAAAACUUGAUAGGUUUAAUGAAGGAAGAUACUGUAAAACUGACAGUAGAAAUAUAGACACUGUGGUAAACCAUAGUGCACAUCAGUGAGUGGAGCUAUUAGAUAUAUUUUUCAGCCUGAAAAAAUACUUAUGGGUAGAGAUGUCAAAAAUAUUAACAUUCUUUUACUUUUUCAUCAGUUCCUCUAUCAGCUAAUAAAUUUGCCUUAAGUAAACAAAGGUUUGCAUCUUAAAGUGCGAGACACAAUAAUUGCUGUGUUAAUUAGUAAAAGAAUUUCCCAAAUCUGUUGAUUAUGUUUAAAAUCUAAAUCAACAUUAUAUCUUUGCCAUUCGCAGAUUGUGUCCAAGGUAUUAAGAAAGAUCGACAGCCUAGGUAAAAAAGACAGCCAUUGACUUAUCAAUGAAAAUAGAAAGUCCGUCAUUGAAAACCAAGGACUGUCCAGUGGAGUCAGUAUCUGUAUAAAAUGUGAUGUGUUGGCCCACCCAGAGAUUAUACUGUUGGCCAUGUUAGUAUUAUGCUUCAACCAUCUUUUUCCACACCUCAGAAUUUAAAUUGUACUCCUUACCUGAAUUAAGAAUUACUUUAAGUGCAAAACUAACUCUUAAAAAUAAUGCUGACAAAUUAAGGUCUCACUGAUUUACCUCAAAAUAUAGCCAUGAUUUCCUCAAGUAUUGUAUACUUUUACUCUGAUGCUUUUUCUAGGAACGGUUGCCAAGAGGACAGAGUCCAAAAAUUAGUGUAAAAAACACAUUUUUUUACUGGACUUCUCUGAGACUUGAUUUUCUCUUUAUAAAAAAUGUAGAUAAUACCUGUUUGUAAGGGUGUUAUGAAAAGAGCCUGGGAGAUCAUUUUUACAAAAAGAAGAAUAUCAGUCAUCUGUUAGAAUACUGUAGAAUACAUCAAAAUGUAGCUGACCCGGGAUGCCACAAAUGGCCCCCUAACAAUUGAGACUUUUGGAUGACUUUAGGUGGGAAAAGAAAGGAAAAUCCAUCUUCGAAUGUAUCCAAGUGCAAAGUUUAAUGAUACGAAAUUUCAAUGUCAGAUUGAAGUUGAAAAUUUAGAAUCACCUGGGUGAAAGGGUUAAGUUUCCUUAUUAAAGAUUGCAACUAUUUGA